GAAGUUUCCGUUUUACUUGAUGCCCCCAAACAACACGUGUCUGUAGAGUGUCAAGUGAGCACGCCGCCGCAGUAAGUUCACUCAAGAGUUUUGCUACGUUGGAAAAUGUUCCCUGAGAAAGCGAAAAUCCCGAAACCCAAUCCUCUGGCAAAAGCGGGAAUUUUUUCACAGCUUUUCUUGUGCUGGCUGAGUCCUUUCCUGCAUCUCGGACACAAGCAAAGACUGGAAGCAGGUGACCUCUACACAAUACUUCCUGAAGAUGAAUCGGAAGUACUUGGACAAGACCUGCAGAGGUGCUGGGAACUUGAAGUUAAAAGGGCAACCAAACAACUACGGAAGCCCACACUGACCAAAGUCCUUAUUAAGUGCUAUGGGAAGUCUUUCGCCGUCGCGGGAAUCUUUGCGUUUUCCUUGGUAUGCACUGAAACUCCCUUUUUUUUUUUUAUUGAUGUUGAAAUGACUAGAAAUUGGAUUCCACGCUUAUGUGACAAUAAAGAGACCCCCAGUAGGUAAAAAAAAAAAAAAAAUGAGGGGAAAAA